GCCCGGCUGGUUCAGUCGGUUGAGCAUCCGACUGCAGCCCAGGUCACGAUCUCGCGGUUCGUGGGUUCGAGCCCCGCGUCGGGCU
rnacentral:tRNA from 1 species